UAGACUAAGGUCCGUCGGCUUGGACAACUGAUUGUUAAUUAGUUCUUUGUGGGAUCAAAGCCUACUAGUCUAG
rnacentral:tRNA from 1 species